GACGAACGCUGGCGGCGUGCUUAACACAUGCAAGUCGAGCGGUAAGGCCCUUUCGGGGGUACGACGAGCGGCGAACGGGUGAGUAACACGUGGGUGACCUGCCCUCAGCUCUGGGAUAAGCCUGGGAAACCGGGUCUAAUACUGGAUAUGACUCCAUGACGCAUGUUGUGGGGUGGAAAGCCUUGUGCGGCUAAGGAUGGGCCCGCGGCCUAUCAGCUUGUUGGUGGGGUGAUGGCCUACCAAGGCGACGACGGGUAGCCGGCCUGAGAGGGCGACCGGCCACACUGGGACUGAGACACGGCCCAGACUCCUACGGGAGGCAGCAGUGGGGAAUCUUGCGCAAUGGGCGAAAGCCCGACGCAGCGACGCCGCGUGAGGGAUGACGGCCUCGGUUGUAACGUA
rnacentral:rRNA from 1 species